rnacentral:misc_RNA from 1 species
GUUUAGUCUAAUAUCUAGUAUGCUAAGUGCCUCAACCUUGUGGCAUUCUCUCCCAUUCUCUGUUUAACAUUAUUGGUUUGAAAUGGAGAGGUUUUAGUGGCAGGAAAAUGAGUUUUUUGGAUUUGUUUUUUGGUUAUUUCAUGGAGUCUUUGGAUAGAAAGAAAUGAAUGUAUCUAAAAAAUUGGAGUUUGUCCUUUAGUUUGUUAUGGGACAAGCUAACAAGGUGGUGUUUUUGGCUUCUAUGAGGGCACGUACUUCUGCAAUUUUUUUUUGG